CAACCUGAACUCAGUCGUGAUUACCCGCUGAACUUAAGCAUAUCAUUUAGCGGAGGAAAAGAAACUAAAAAGGAUUCCCCUAUUAACGGCGAGUGAAACGGGAAAGAGCCCAGCGCCGAAUCGAUCAGUCUUUGGCUGCUUCGAAAUGUGGGCGUAUAGGUGUAGUCUUCCAGCAGUGUCGUAUGUCCGAAGUCCUUGCGAUUGAGGGCAUAAACCAGAGAGGGGAGCGAGCCCCCGUUCUGGAUAGCGGCGCUGUUGGUUCGACUGCUCCUUGGAG
rnacentral:ncRNA from 1 species